GUGAAGAGUCAUGAGAGGUGUAGCAUAAGUGGGAGGCUUUGGCCAACAGUGAAAUACCACUACUUUCAUCGAUUCUUUAC
rnacentral:ncRNA from 1 species